UGAGAUGAGUUGUAUGGUUUGUUUGACAU
rnacentral:piRNA from 1 species